GGAACCUGCGGAGGGAUCAUU
rnacentral:rRNA from 2 species